UACAAGAAAUCUUUUGCAUUCAUUGUUUGAAAAUGUGAAAAAUAUUUGCCGUCGUAAAUUUCCGUUCUUAUUCUUGAGGAUGCUGGCGCGUGUAUUUCAGAACGAAGCUUAGCGUGGGUUUUGUUAAUAAAGAAAAAAAAUAAGAUGGUAAGAGGGUAACGGUCAUCAAGGAUGCGACGUUUUUUAGCCUUUCAACAACAUGCAAUGCACCGCAAUAUCCGUUAUAGCUUUAUUAGCCUUUUUGCCAACCCAGUGUUCAAAAUAUUAGCCGACAGCUCUCCGGCGACAUGAUGCUCUGCAUCAAAAUUUUACUUGUACCAAGCUGUUUUUACUUGAGUUUGGUUCGCAAUAUUGUACAUUUGUCUGAACAUAUUUCCAUCAACAAUAAUAAGAUUGUGCAGUUUGUAAAUAUAAAAAUUAAUUCAGCGGAGAGAAAAAAUGCAAACACCAUCUCCCACCUUAUGAACGAUUUUAUAAACAAGAUGUCAUAAAUGUCGAGUUACUUAUUACAGAGCUUAAAAGAGUUUGUUCGGUUGUUUGUUUUGGGUUUAACGCUACACACGGAAAUUAUCUAGAUAAUUGCUUAAUUGCUCUGAGUAAAUAUAUUCGUGGACCUAUCGUAAUUAUCAUAUUUUGGGUGAAGUACCUAUUAUAUUUUAAGAACAAGGUAACUAUAGAAACGAGGAAAACAUGGCGUCAAAAGAAACGACGCGUUUCGAGACUGAAGUACGAAGUACUAAAGUGCUGGAUGUUGUUACCACCUUUUCUAUAUUCAGAGCUGUUAUUUGUCAUCUUCAGACAGUAUUCUGUACUCAUUCGAUAACAUACAUUUUGGACUCAUUGGUAAAUCAGGAACAAAUUGGCGCCGCAGAGUUUCUAACAAUGGUAUAUUCUGGACACUUACAUACUAUUACAGGAGGAUACAAGAGAGAUUUAAAACGAAUUGGAAAAUUGUGGCUAUCCUUUAAAAAGUUUGUGGACUCUAAAAAAGACAAAUCAUUCAGUAUUUGCUAUGAAUUCUUGUCGGAUGCAUUUCGAAGAGAAAUGAUGAACGGGAAGCAAGAGGCUGUAGAUAUGUUUGCAAUAUGUACUUGGUUCACGGUCCAGCAAUACGAAAUGGACCAAUGUGAAAAAAGAAAAUCGAUCCUCGAAAACAUGGUUGCUGUAAUACCAGACAAUCUUGACAGAACUGUGGCUGAAAUAGUGUAUUUUAGUAAAAUGGCAACUACUGCGGAAUUUGAAAAUGACAUAGAAAGUGCUAAAGAUUUCGCAGGCAAAGCAAAAUACUUAAGUGAAAUAUGCGAGGAUAAAACAGCAAAAAUCCUUGCACAUUAUAGUUACUUCUUUCUUCAUCGGAGGUUAUAUUUACGAGACAAAAGCGAUACUAACCGACAAAAAGUUCUGGAACAAUGUGACAUUGGAUGCGACAUGUUCCCAGUUCCCGACGAAGACGGUGACUUUGAAAUGUAUUGCGCAUUGUUAUUCCUACUCUACAGGGCAGGCGACUACUUGCAUAUCACAUACGAGCUUGAUGUACUUGAUUCUGAUAAGAUGAGCCCUUCAAAUAUCAUGGCCGCUGAGGAAGUUUUGAGAAUCGCAUAUAGGUAUAUACCUAUAUCUACUCCAAGAAAACAGCUGACGUUUAAAUUCUGUAUGGGUAGGCUUUAUCAUUUGCGAUCGGAAUUUGAAAAAGCUAGUACAUAUUUGAAGGAAACGGAAGAACUGAUGAAAGGUGGUGUAUUAAACGAGAAGGAACAGAGUAACGUUUCCAGAUAUUGUGAAAAAUUUGAAGUAGAACUCAGGUGCGUUUAUAACUUUAAUAUGUUAUUUCUGAAAUUGAUACGUGUAUAAUUUCUUCCUAAUCAUCUAGAAGUGUCCAUAACGCAUUUUAUUGAAUAAUGAAAGCGUAAUCGAAAAGAUAUUCAAGCGGUUAAAAUGUAUGUCUGUCUAAAAAUUCAACGCAAAUCGGAUAUCACUAAUACAGAAAAAUCUGUUUCUCUCUGAUAGUUUGCUCUUUGUAUGCAUUUGUAGAGAAUAUUUUGUAUAGACAUUCAAUUAUGAUGUCUAUGUACCAAAGUAUAUUCUUACAGAUUUUAAUUGAUAUAUCUUUUGUCAGCUUUAUGUAAAGAAAGAGCACUUAAAUCCUGGCAAAAAUUCAAACGAACAUAAUUAUACGGCUCGUCUAUCAAUGAAAAAAGACGCUUAUAAUUACUAACCCCAAUAUCAAAUCUAACCCAAUGUCAAAACUAAAUUUUCAAUCUGCUUUUCGUUUCGAUCCUAAUAAUGGUAUUUAAUUAUGAACUUACCAAAACGAUGUGUACUAACUGUAGACAGACGACAGACAGACGAUGGACGACGGACGACAUAUAUGGACCAAAGGAUUGCUCAGGUGCGCAAAGUUGUUAAAAAGAUAUUUUAAGUUUUUACGUCCGCUAUUAAACCAAUACACACAUAUUUAAAUUUCAGAUGGAAAAGUUGCUUAGCUCAAGACAACGAAACAGCAAAAGAAACUGCUGAGGCAUUGAUAGUAAAACAGCAUUACUGCCUGAGCCAAAAUAUGUUGCAAAGUAUCUUGAAGAAGUUUGGAAGGAAAAAUGAACUUACGUUAAGAUUGUGUGAAGAUGUAUGCAGUUACAUAAAGGGCAUGAAUGACAAAAUAGUCCACGUUUUCCCGUCAUAUACAAUACAUUUCGACAGAGAAGUAGUCUUUGUGAUCUUUGUGAAAGAUCUCUUGUCUAAAAAGGAAGAGGACGAGAUAGGAUACACUAUAAAACAACGUUUGGUCGACCAGUUCAGUUCAGAAGGAAAAGUCGUUAUGUCCAAUGAAACAGCUUCAGAAGAUGCUUUAACAUUAGACGAAACGAAACGGUUGAAAGAUUGUAUAAACAUGCAUGCGACAGAUCUUAUGCAACGUCAUAAGUAUCUUUCGAUUAUUACAGCAAGCCAUGUACGUUCGAAGAGUUAUGGAACACACGAAUUUAAGAUUCAGAAAGAGCCAUGCAUUGUUCUAUACGUUCAUACCAAAGGAUAUAUUCCUCUUGGUGAAGAUCCAUUCGAAACAAGUUAUGACGGUGUACCUGUGGAUGUUAGGGAGGGUAUGUUUGUAACAUGUCCUGGUUCAAGCGUUCCCAAAGCAAACGAAUAUCAUGAACAAUUAAGAAUGGGCUGUGAUAUUGCUGGUAAAGGUAAAAAGCAUAGCGGAACCCUUGACGGAUUCAUUGAGCAUCCACAGUAUGGUAUUUGUGGACUUACAUGUGCGCAUGUUUUAUUAAAUUUUGAGUAUUUUAAAAAAGUUAAGAGAAAAGGAGGAUAGAAGGAUGCAUUGGCCAGAGUUUAAUCCAUGUGAAGCAGUUUACCAACCAGGCGACUCCAACCAUCAGAUUGGACAGCUGGUACAAGCCGUAUAUCAAGAAGGUGGCAAAGAUGUUAUCGGAGUAGAAGUUGCACUGUUUCAGAUAGAACAGCGUCCUCCAGCUGAGGGAGAAUUUCCUUCCGCGCUAAAUAGAGCCGAUGGGGAAGAAUUGCGGUUUAAUUCUGGGAAAACGUAUGGGUUGUCCCGAAUAAACAAAUGGCCCGUCGUCAAAUUUGGAAGAACUACAGAUAAGACAAGCGGAAUCUUUGUUUCGACUCUGCCGUUAGUUUCUGCAAGAACUAUAAAUUACAUAUGGGAUGACGGUGAAUGUAGCAUUACCCUUCAUAAUCAGUUUGAGAUACAGUCAGUUGAGUCGAAUAAAAAAUUUGCAGACUUCGGGGACUCUGGAUCUCUUGUCUUGAUGAAAGAUGAGACUGGUGAAUAUGUAUGUGUCGGAAUGGUUGAAGGUGUGACUUCACAUGGGAUAACAAUUGUAACGCCUAUAACUCCAAUUCUAGAUCAAUUCAAAGUAUUUAGAUUAAAAAGUUUUCAGGAACAAAUAUUUGAAAGAUAUGUAACGAACACGUUACAGAUUCUUUUAGAUAAAUCAAGUUAAAUUAUGUCAGGAAAACCAGGAAAAACUAAUUAAUUAAUAAGGACAACCUAUUUGACCAGACAAGCAAUGCAUUUGAUGGUUUCUACACAAAUGUACUUUUAUCACCUUCUUUCUAUAAUGAAACAUAUAACUUAAUAAUAAUCCUGAAAACUUUACCCUGUAGGCCUUUAUGACCCAAAUGGCAACAAGGCGCAACCCAUCUGUUUGUUCAACAUCUUUUUUUAUAUUUUCAUUCGCUAUGUAUUUUGUAUAAAAAACCGUGAUUUGUCGUUGAUUCAAAUCAAUGUAUGGAGUUCAGAUUCGAUGAAAUAAUAUCACGAGGAUGCAACACCUACGAACAAAAAAUGAAUUUAUUUGUUUAUGUUAGAUUCUAAUUUAUUUAAGGUCUAUUGUGAUGAAAGCUUAAAGCGUUAUACCACUCUCGAGUCCACUUAAUGGGUAUUCUAUUCAAGAGUAAAUAACUGUUUGGGAUUGUAGCACGUUAUCAAGGAUUACACGAACAUUUGCCUGUUUUGUUUGGUUUCUUUUCCAACGCGCCGUUGUAACAUUUUGACGCUCUAACCUAAUCAUUGUGACGUACAUAAAUGAAUUUUUGCAUAAUAAUAUACACUUUUCAGUCUUCUUUGUUUAAUAAGAAAAACAAAUCGGGUCGGUAAUAAUUUGUGUAAACAACUUUGAUGCAACAAUAUCAUAGACAACUCUUCCCGCGAGACUACACUUGAGAUGUGACGUAAUUUACAAACUAAUUAACAAAAUUGCGUCGUGCGACCAAUGGACAUUGAAGUAGUCCAAAAGUUUGGUUCUGUAUUGCUGCUAAAUUAUGGAAUAAUGAAUCAUUUUAAGAUGUGGCAGUUAUGUGUGUUUUGGUUUAGAUUUAUGCUGAUUGUAUUGAGAAAAAAAAUCUCGACCAUUAUACUUGGAAGUUUCAAGGAUUUAGUUUUAAUGUCUGCAUGCACGUAAUUGCUCAAAAGCAGUCAGUUACUGUGGUGUUGUUUUUUCAAGACAGAUAUUUUUUCUUUACUGUAUCAAUAUUUUGUAUUUUUAGGUAAAAGACUUCAAGUACGUUGUAUGAAAUAUCUGCCUAAAACGGCAAUCAAAAUGAUAGACAGAAUAUUCAGUUAAAGAUCUAGCUAAAACCCAUUCUUCUGAAGGUAAAUAUAAAAACUUAUAUGACACGACUAUGUAAUUUUCAUUGAAUUUAAGGAUAUUCUUAUUUAAAAUUAAAACCGGGAACUGUUUUGUUUUAAUCGAAAGGCGGAUUACAAGUUAACGUAUCUGCAGAUUUUCGGCUGUUCUAACUAAAGGUUAUAACAUCGAAUGUCUUACAUUUUUAUGAUUUGUGAUGUCCAUUUAUUGUUUACAAAACAGAAGAAAAUAUAACGUAAAAUAAGAAAAUGUAAUUAUUUACGGUGUACAUAAUUAACAAUAUAAUAUGAUCAGCACAUUUACCAUGAAUCGCAAGCGCAAUUCAUGGCGGUGCUGUUUUACGUUACUAAAAUGGUGGGUGGUAAUAAUUACCUCUAAAAUUUCAUAAUCUUUAACAUAGAUUUGGGUGAAUUGCCCGAAAAUCUAAUUUAAAAAGGAUUGUAAAUUCUGUUAAUCUAAACAACAAAAAUGUUAGAAUUCGUUUAUAUUUAGGAUAUCUUAGUUACCAUAAAACAACAUAAAUUCCCUGUUAAUUUUAUACCAGAAUUGUACACAGAGAAAAAAAAUAUCCAUCAUAAAACAUUAUUUCAGAUAUCUGUACAUGCUACCUCCUUUGUAGACACUUACAAUUUAAAUAAAAAGGACGUGCUUCCUUUUUUGUAGACACCUACAAUGUACCAUAUA
rnacentral:misc_RNA from 1 species